UACGUAGGCAGCGAGCGUUGUUCGGAGUUACUGGGCGUAAAGGGUGUGUAGGCGGUUGUUUAAGUUUGGUGUGAAAUCUCCCGGCUCAACUGGGAGGGUGCGCCGAAUACUGAAUGACUCGAGUGCGGGAGAGGAGAGUGGAAUUCCUGGUGUAGCGGUGAAAUGCGUAGAUAUCAGGAGGAACACCGGUGGCGAAGGCGGCUCUCUGGGACGGUACUGACGCUGAGACGCGAAAGCGUGGGGAGCAAACAGG
rnacentral:rRNA from 1 species